rnacentral:misc_RNA from 1 species
GUGAAUCAUCGAAUUUUUGAACGCACAUUGCACUCUCCUCGAAGCGUGUGACUGUUUGAGGGUCAGCCUCUAAAAAUUGAUCAAGUUGAUGUUUCGCGGUGGUAUUCGUCGGAAAUUGGGUCAUCUUAAAUCCUUUUGAUUUAAGCGGCUUAAAAUUUUCUUUUGGUUCCAUGAACGUUUCUUGGAUCUAUUUCUUUACACGUUUAAGGUAUCUGUUUUUACUCGACGAUACCAUCAUAU